UUGAGGACUUGGCUAGGAAUGCCAUCUUCAGAAUUCUGACCUCUCAGAGCCCAGAGAGAACCACAAGCUGGGGACUGCACUUUGUUAGGUAGCCUGAAGACCCAUCCAAAAUACCAUGGAAGGAGGGCAUUGAACAUGCAGGGGUCAGCAAGAUGCCUCAACAGAUAGAGACGCCGUGAAGCCCGAUGACCAGAAUUCAAGUCCACGGCGUCCACAUGGUAGAAGUCAAGAGCUGACUCUAGAAGUUUGUCUUCUGACUACCACACACACGCUGUGCCACGCCUGUCUCCCUCCCCAGGGAAUGAGUAAGUAGCGGGAAAGCAUCGAACCACUUCCAAACCAUUGCACUCUCUCGAUCUGAACACCCAGGCUAGGGUCUUAGACACUGAGCAUUAAGGCUUCUCAGUUACAAGGUGGGGGCUUCCAAGUUAGUAGGACAAUGGACUCAUACGAUGCCAGGACCAUGGCAGGUGCCCACAGUCAGUGGGGCUUUCUUUUAUCACGACCAUCAUCUGGAGACACAUGAAUCAGAUCAGUUCUUCUGUGGCCUCUUGGCGGUGUACCGAUUCUGCCUUUUUUACUUGUGGCCUGGAGAAAUAGCGAUUCCCAACUUCCUAAGGCAGUAUUUCAAGAUUCACUGACUGUGUGUGUACCUGUGAUUCUCAAGUGUGCCUACCUACCGCCAUCAGUAAAUGGUGGCAAAGAGUAUGACCUGUUCUCAUCGGAACUCAUGUUGAAGUUUAAUUCCAGAUGCAAGAAAAGCCAUCAGUGUCCCCUGUUCUCCACUGUCACAAUAUUAGUUUGUCUGCCCUGCCUCACACUGCCCACCAUGAUGCAGGGGACCCACUGAAGUCAUCAACGAAGUAAGUCUUUCUCUCACUUAAAUUGUUUCUGUCAGGCGUUUUCUCAGAGCAGUGGACAAAAUGAGUAAUAAAAAUUGGGUUGAGUUUGUUCUCUUGAAGAGUUGGCUACAAAAAACAAAAAAAACAAAACAAAAACUAAGCUUCUUUCCUUGCCACCUCUUAUGUUCUUCAUGUGUGUCCCCCCUCUCACCCUUCCCCUUCUCUCCGUUAGCUUCCGCCUGACACGUGAUGCAGCCAGGGAACCCUCACUGAACCUUCUAGCCAUCAGAAUCGGGGCUCAGGUUCCAGAGCUGGUGUCACAUACCCUUGCCUCAGCCUAGAGGUUUGCCUAUCAGGAAACAAGGCUGGCACCUUCUACAGCGGGUUCUGGGAUUUAGGAUUAGCCAGGAAUCAGCACAGUCUGGGAGAGCAAUGGAAGAUCACAGUAUUCACGAACAAGGACAGAUUGACCCGGGACAGGACACAGAACAUACUGUUCCGAGCCAUGGAGCAGAGAAAGGUUUCUCAGUGUCUACCCCACAGACUGGCAGCAUCUAUCCCUCUUUUCGGUGACAGAACUCUUGACUGCCACAAGUCAUGCAGCUGACUUUCCUGCCUUCAGAGGAGUCACGGGUUAACAUGCCUAGACUGCGAUGGAUGAGCCUCAUCUUGGGAAAAUCACCCUCAUGACCACGAGAUCUCCCCUGCCAGGAGGAGCAACAGUGUGGCAUAAAGUUAACCAUGAUCCUAGGAGUCACACAGCCCAGGCUCAAACAUGACUUCUUGUUUCCAGCUGAUCAGUCCGUCUUAGAUGUGAUGUGAUCAGCUGCCUUAAACUCCUGUAGAUUUGACUUCCUGGCUGUGACCGUCUUCACCUUGAACUGAACUGACAACCUCUCCCUCAUGGAGGACUCCCAGCCAGCCAGUAUCAGCCACGGAUGCUCGCCCUAGCAUCUCUCAAGCCCUUGCUGGGAUAUUGUGGGUCACUAGACUGCAGAGCGACAGCAGAGGUGUGUGGCCAUUUCUUGCUCGUGGUGGCAAAUGCAGGGUGCAGGACUUCUAUGGAGAUGCUCGGCUUUUCUGGGUACACUGCUUCUCAUUGUGUAAAUACGAAAUGUCCUCCAGAAGCCAUGUUUGAACCCUUAAGCCCCACGUGGUGACGGCGGGAAGGCGACAGAACCAUUAGGGUGCUGCUUUGCUGGAAGUGCUUCAUCGCUUGGCUUUGGUAUUUUAGUUGGCAUUUGUCUAUUUUUACUUUAUAUUUUCUUUCUCUGCUUCCUGGGUGUGAACGAAAUGGGAUCACUCUGCUCCCUGGCUGCCGAGCCAGCCUCUCGUUCCGGCAUUGGUGUGCUUUCCCCGCUAGGAUAGACUCUACGUCAUCUGGAACUGUAAGCCAGAAUAAACCAUUUCUUCGGCAAGCUACCCUGUUGUAGUAAUUGUUAGAAAAGAAUCUAGCAUGGCAUUAGCGGGUACAUUCAUCUCAGCAGCUGCCUGUCCCAGGGUACCCUGUCAUGCUACCCCCAACUAUUUCCUGUCCCCAGCGGUCUGUCCACCCCAGGUAGUCGCAUGCCAUGGCCGCCCCUUCCUGGCUGGCUCUCUGCCUCGAACUCUGCUCACAUUCCCUGUAACCUGGUAAAAUCGAGACCCAAAAAGCUUAUUAAUUUAGCAAUCAGAUUUAUAUGUUGAAUUUUCAAUCCACAAUACAUCCACACAAUAAACUCAGAGCCGAGUGAGUAACAAUAUAAACCGCCCACCUAGAUAGGAUAAAUUGACCUAUUAAAAAAAACUAUCCCUUAAAUAUUCAUAGCUACCUGUGGCCAUUUAAGGCCACCUGGAUCUGGGUCAUCCUCCUGUGCCUCCUUCUUGGUUCUCAUCCUUACUUUUUACUGUCCAAUUACAGGCUUCACCUUAACUUGCGCCAGCCCUUACCUGCAUAUAGACAUCAACCUACGCUACACUUGUCGUAUUUUAUCAGAAAAGAAACUAACAUGCUGUCUGCCAUCCCCCCACCCCCACCUCCACACACGUACUCAGCAUACCAGUCAUGGUACAGGGUUGUUUAUGGCAGAAGAGUAACGCUUCCUCAUGUCCUCCUUUAUCCAAUGAGACAGACAGCUAAGAUGCCCUACUGUCACCCACGAUAAGCAGAUGGUCAGCAUCAUGACUACGUGAGGCUCAGAACAGUCAAGGCGCAGCCAAAUACUUGAGGACCGUUAACUCCAUUAAAGCAGAAGAUAAUUUUGACACCUAAAUCUUCUUUGAGUGUGUCUAACACUGUCAGGAUUUGCUUCAGAAUAUACAAAACAAAUCUCUGAGUUAGGAUUAGGAGCUAGAGUAGGGUAGAGUUUCUGCUUCGGGGCCGCUAACCUGUUCAAGGCGUGACACAUUUGAGCUCUGAGGCAGUUGCACUGUGUUCAGUGUAAUGCUCUUACUUGUCUCAUCCACCCGAUGAAGUAAACCGUCUCUCAACAUUACACCUUUGGUUAGGAAAGGAAGUCCAUCUUAAGUACAGAUCCGGGGACAAACUCUGCUGCCCUUGGAGGGAAGCAUGGCCUCUGAGUGAUCGAUGUUUGGUUUGCACUGUGUUUGGAAAAGCCCAUGGAGUCUUCGGCUGGGCUGUGCUCUUUGAAAACAGGCAGCACGAUGACCCCCCUCUUCUCUGCCCAUUGAUCUACAUAACUUCUAAAGACAAGGCAUGUGACACUGGCCACACAAACAGAGACUGCUUUGAUGACAGGAAAGGGACUUUCUGCUCCUAUUUUUCUGAAAGAAAUGUGUAUUUUUGCGUGGUUCUUUACCCAACAGUUUGGCCUUUGAUGCCUCCUUUUGUCUAGUAGGUGCCACGAUGAAGCACCAACUCUCGAGGGCUCAUCCUCCCUAAGGGUCCACAUCCCUGUGCUAGCUCAGCCCCCUGCCCUGUGCCUUCAUGCCCCCCGCCCCCACUCCUUUAAGCUCUUCCCCCAUGUUGUGAGACAGGGCUUCACCUUGUAACUUGGAUUUAGACCUGAAAUUUACUAUGUAGAACUCUUACUCCUCCCAGAUUGUCCUCAUUUUGCUUUUUCGAGUCUUUUGUAUGCUUACUUUUUUUUUUUUUUUUUUUUUUAUGAAUCGAGAGCAGUAGGGUUAAGUCUUCCCAUGUGGUUCUCUUUGCCCAUGUGAUAGUACCUCUGGCAGUUGCUUUAUAAACUCGAUGCUGUGUUAUUUGAUGCACAUGUACCCAUCACCGUUAGAGUGUAUUCCGUGUUAUACCCUUUGUGACUGAAGAGCAACCCUCUUCACACUAUGCAGAGCUUCUUGGUGACAUGUCUAUAUGUUUGAAAAGCUUUUAUGUUAAAGAUGAUUGUUGGAAGAAACAAAAUAAAAAAUAAUUGUUGAGAUCAGUUGAUGGACACUUAGAUAUUAAUUGUUGUGUCCUUUCAACUUCUCCAAAGGCCUCCUACUGAAAAGUUAGGAUGUGGUAGGCUGCCAAUGAGAAAGCCACUCAGAGUUUAUAUUCACACGUGGCUGCGGUUCGAGGGACAGGAAGUGAACAAUUUCAACCUCAGAAGACAGAUUUAAAUCUAGGACCGAGAGCCAGAAAGAUGUCUCGGCAGUUAAGAAUAUGUGCACUGAACCUGGGCUCAUUUCAGAGCACCAGCAUUGAGUGCCUCGCAGCCACCUGUAACUGCAGCUCAAGGGGAUCUGAUGCCCUCUUUUGGCCUCUGCACGCAUUUCACUUAACCGUACGCACACACUUAAAAGAACCAGGAGUCGUCAGUGUCCUUAGGACCCCGUUCCUUAUGGAAUAGGAGCAAAGAACCUCGAAGAAUCGUUGCAGUCAUGGAAUGCCCUAUGUGAAAAUGGAACUCAUGUAAGGAGUGUUCAGUGAAAAUGACAUUUGCAUCUUAGGGAGGGUCCUCCCCAGGACAACCAGUAUUUUUUUUUUCCCCUCAAGAGUCCUGAUUUUGAAGCCAAGGUUUUGGCACCAAGUUAAACCACCUUAGGCAAAUCAAUUUAACUUUUGGGUCUGUCUUAUUUUUAUUUGUCAAGUAAUACAUGUCAUGGAAAUUGUUAUAAUAAGAGUCACUAAUAUACAAUUGCAAUAUAUGAUAAUCAAUUAAGAGUGUAUAUUAAUUAAAAAAUUUUGCUCUCUCAACAAAAUACCAGUGUGGUGCAUUUAUUGUUCACUGCA